AACGUAGGACGCAAGCGUUAUCCGGAGUUACUGGGCGUAAAGCGCGGGCAGGCGGUCUGGCCAGUCUGAUGUGAAAUCUCCUCGCUCAACGGGGAGCAGCCAUUGGAAACUACCAGACUGGAGUCUGACAGAGGUAGGCGGAAUUCCGGGUGGAGUGGUGAAAUGCGUAGAGAUCCGGAGGAACACCAGAGGCGAAGGGCGGGUCGUCUGGACAGUUCCUGACACUGAGGCACGAAGGCCAGGGGAGCAAACGGG
rnacentral:rRNA from 1 species